UCCAUUUGAGAAAAUGAAGUUGAGGCACACGCUGCUCAGGAGGAUGUGCAGAAGAAAGUAUUAAUGACAGAUUGUGAUUUGAAAGGGAAAUGUAACAGGACGUGUGCUUUGCAGUUUUCAUGUAUACCCGAUGGUUUUAGAGAAAAAUGUCUGGUCUCUAGAAACGUGGGCAUCCUGUAUAUAAAUAGUGCAUCACAUUAUCAUAAUAUAGACACAUAUACUAGCUAUAUUUUAUGCUAUAUUUAUUAUAUCUUUAAAAAUUACAAUUCUAUCAGAACUGAUGAUGAUGAUAUAUUUAAGAUAAUUAAACAAGAUAUUGACAAUAGAGAUAUAUAAAGGAUUAUUAAUAGUUCUGAUGAAGAAAGAAAUUAAAUUUACAUCAUAUGCGAGAGGGAAUAAAGAAACCCUCCUGAAUGACAAAAAUUCAAUAACCCUACCAAC
rnacentral:lncRNA from 1 species